rnacentral:rRNA from 1 species
CCUGGUAGUACACGCUGUAAACGAUGUCGACUUGGAGGUUGUGCCCUUGAGGCGUGGCUUCCGGAGCUAACGCGUUAAGUCGACCGCCUGGGGAGUACGGCCGCAAGGUUAAAACUCAAAUGAAUUGACGGGGGCCCGCACAAGCGGUGGAGCAUGUGGUUUAAUUCGAUGCAACGCGAAGAACCUUACCUACUCUUGACAUCCACGGAAUUCGCCAGAGAUGGCUUAGUGCCUUCGGGAACCGUGAGACAGGUGCUGCAUGGCUGUCGUCAGCUCGUGUUGUGAAAUGUUGGGUUAAGUCCCGCAACGAGCGCAACCCUUAUCCUUUGUUGCCAGCACGUAAUGGUGGGAACUCAAAGGAGACUGCCGGUGAUAAACCGGAGGAAGGUGGGGAUGACGUCAAAUCAUCCAUGGCCCUUACGAGUAGGGCUACACACGUGCUACAAUGGCAUAUACAAAGAGAAGCGAACUCGCGAGAGCAAGCGGACCUCAUAAAGUAUGUCGUAGUCCGGAUUGGAGUCUGCAACUCGACUCCAUGAAGUCGGAAUCGCUAGUAAUCGUAGAUCAGAAUGCUACGGUGAAUACGUUCCCGGGCCUUGUACACACCGCCCGUCACACCAUGGGAGUGGGUUGCAAAAGAAGUAGGUAGCUUAACCUU